UCUGGAACAGAGGGAGUAUA
rnacentral:miRNA from 1 species